rnacentral:lncRNA from 1 species
GGGGAAGCAUUCCGUGGUCACAGCAGACUGCCUGGCUCCUCGGCCUCAGAUGUGGGCAGAGUGGGCGGCGGCUGGCGGGCGCAGGCGGGGGCUGGGGAGACAGGCCAGGACCCCCGCCCGCCCAGCGCCCUGCAGGGUGGGAGGCAGGGGGUGGAACUCGCAGUCAGGCCUGGGGACCGCAGUGGGGCCUCCUGCCUCGAGCCCCCCAUGGUCCCCCAGGGCUGCAGUCUGGAAGCCCAGGCUCCCGUGGCCCCCGCCGACCUGCCUGCCCCUCGGCCUGCCCCUGUCCACGGCUCCUCUGCCCCAGCCACGCCUGCGCCUGGCCGAGCCUCCAGAAGGCCAGGCUCUCCGCCCCAGGGCCUUUGCACGGCCGCUCUCUGCUGCAGGCCUCUGACCCUCUGCAAUGCCUCCUCUUCAGAGGGCCGGUCCCUGCGCCCCGCAUCCCACCCACCAUCCUCUCCUGACUUCCUCAUGCCCUCGUCCCUGGGUCCCUUGUGCGAUUUCCUCAUCCCCGGGUUCAUUGCUACUGACUGUUCCCCUGCUGGGCCGCGAGCCCAAGAAGGGCAGGGCUGGGUCUCCUUGGUUCACCGCGGACACGUAAUAGGCACUCAGUGGAUUGAUGGAGCAACCACGGAAGUCCUGCUGGAAUCUAACCACAAUCUUUCCAGCUUUACACAGCUCCUGACCUGGGCAGGGGCCGACUCUGUGGACACCUCUGUGGCCAGUGGUGCUCGGAGCCCGCCCACGCCUCCCAUGUGCUACAGAUAAGGAGACAGACGUGAGGGCCCGGGCACCGCUCCUUAACACGUGAGGGAGGCCGCUGAGGGUCCUCCGGGCAGGGCGCCCCUGCCCUCGCGGCCCUUCCUGGUACAGGGGCCUGCAGGAGGGUCCUGGGGGCGCGAGGUGCCCAGGUGGGCGGAGCCGGCGGCUUCCCCGACAGGCGCUCAUCACUAUCUGCCUUUUUUUCCUGGUUUUAACCGAAAAUAAAGAGAAGGUUCUUU